rnacentral:rRNA from 1 species
UACGUAGGGUGCGAGCGUUAAUCGGAAUUACUGGGCGUAAAGCGUGCGCAGGCGGUUCGUUGUGUCGGCGGUGAAAGCCCCGGGCUCAACCUGGGAAUGGCCGUUGAAACUGGCGAACUGGAGUGUGGCAGAGGGGGGUGGAAUUCCGCGUGUAGCAGUGAAAUGCGUAGAGAUGCGGAGGAACACCGAUUGCGAAGGCAGCUUACUAAGCUGUAACUGACGCUGAUGCACGAAAGCGUGGGGAUCGAACAGG